AAUCGAUUCCCAGCCCUACCGUUAUGUGCCUCAGUCUGAAUCCAGCGCUGAACAGUGAACACCGAGAAAUCUUCUAAAAACACCCGAAGUUGCGAAAAAACAAACAAAUAACAUUGGCCUUGUUUGGAGCUGGCAUUCACCGACAUAAACAAGAUGGGCUGUAAGGUGCUGUGUCCCAGUGUUGCUCUCCUUGCUUAUCUUAUGAUCUGUGAACAUGUCCGAGCGGAAUGUACACAGCCUUCUUUUGCAUCAA